rnacentral:rRNA from 1 species
GGGUUGUGAGGUUAAGCGACUAAGCGUACACGGUGGAUGCCCUGGCAGUCAGAGGCGAUGAAGGACGUGCUAAUCUGCGAUAAGCGUCGGUAAGGUGAUAUGAACCGUUAUAACCGGCGAUUUCCGAAUGGGGAAACCCAGUGUGAUUCGUCACACUAUCAUUAACUGAAUCCAUAGGUUAAUGAGGCGAACCGGGGGAACUGAAACAUCUAAGUACCCCGAGGAAAAGAAAUCAACCGAGAUUCCCCCAGUAGCGGCGAGCGAACGGGGAGCAGCCCAGAGCCUGAAUCAGUGUGUGUGUUAGUGGAAGCGUCUGGAAAGGCGCGCGAUACAGGGUGACAGCCCCGUACACAAAAAUGCACAUACUGUGAGCUCGAUGAGUAGGGCGGGACACGUGGUAUCCUGUCUGAAUAUGGGGGGACCAUCCUCCAAGGCUAAAUACUCCUGACUGACCGAUAGUGAACCAGUACCGUGAGGGAAAGGCGAAAAGAACCCCGGCGAGGGGAGUGAAAAAGAACCUGAAACCGUGUACGUACAAGCAGUGGGAGCACAGAGCAAUCUGUGUGACUGCGUACCUUUUGUAUAAUGGGUCAGCGACUUAUAUUCUGUAGCAAGGUUAACCGAAUAGGGGAGCCGAAGGGAAACCGAGUCUUAACUGGGCGUUAAGUUGCAGGGUAUAGACCCGAAACCCGGUGAUCUAGCCAUGGGCAGGUUGAAGGUUGGGUAACACUAACUGGAGGACCGAACCGACUAAUGUUGAAAAAUUAGCGGAUGACUUGUGGCUGGGGGUGAAAGGCCAAUCAAACCGGGAGAUAGCUGGUUCUCCCCGAAAGCUAUUUAGGUAGCGCCUCGUGAAUUCAUCUCCGGGGGUAGAGCACUGUUUCGGCAAGGGGGUCAUCCCGACUUACCAACCCGAUGCAAACUGCGAAUACCGGAGAAUGUUAUCACGGGAGACACACGGCGGGUGCUAACGUCCGUCGUGAAGAGGGAAACAACCCAGACCGCCAGCUAAGGUCCCAAAGUCAUGGUUAAGUGGGAAACGAUGUGGGAAGGCCCAGACAGCCAGGAUGUUGGCUUAGAAGCAGCCAUCAUUUAAAGAAAGCGUAAUAGCUCACUGGUCGAGUCGGCCUGCGCGGAAGAUGUAACGGGGCUAAACCAUGCACCGAAGCUGCGGCAGCGACGCUUAUGCGUUGUUGGGUAGGGGAGCGUUCUGUAAGCCUGCGAAGGUGUGCUGUGAGGCAUGCUGGAGGUAUCAGAAGUGCGAAUGCUGACAUAAGUAACGAUAAAGCGGGUGAAAAGCCCGCUCGCCGGAAGACCAAGGGUUCCUGUCCAACGUUAAUCGGGGCAGGGUGAGUCGACCCCUAAGGCGAGGCCGAAAGGCGUAGUCGAUGGGAAACAGGUUAAUAUUCCUGUACUUGGUGUUACUGCGAAGGGGGGACGGAGAAGGCUAUGUUGGCCGGGCGACGGUUGUCCCGGUUUAAGCGUGUAGGCUGGUUUUCCAGGCAAAUCCGGAAAAUCAAGGCUGAGGCGUGAUGACGAGGCACUACGGUGCUGAAGCAACAAAUGCCCUGCUUCCAGGAAAAGCCUCUAAGCAUCAGGUAACAUCAAAUCGUACCCCAAACCGACACAGGUGGUCAGGUAGAGAAUACCAAGGCGCUUGAGAGAACUCGGGUGAAGGAACUAGGCAAAAUGGUGCCGUAACUUCGGGAGAAGGCACGCUGAUAUGUAGGUGAAGCGACUUGCUCGUGGAGCUGAAAUCAGUCGAAGAUACCAGCUGGCUGCAACUGUUUAUUAAAAACACAGCACUGUGCAAACACGAAAGUGGACGUAUACGGUGUGACGCCUGCCCGGUGCCGGAAGGUUAAUUGAUGGGGUCAGCGCAAGCGAAGCUCUUGAUCGAAGCCCCGGUAAACGGCGGCCGUAACUAUAACGGUCCUAAGGUAGCGAAAUUCCUUGUCGGGUAAGUUCCGACCUGCACGAAUGGCGUAAUGAUGGCCAGGCUGUCUCCACCCGAGACUCAGUGAAAUUGAACUCGCUGUGAAGAUGCAGUGUACCCGCGGCAAGACGGAAAGACCCCGUGAACCUUUACUAUAGCUUGACACUGAACAUUGAGCCUUGAUGUGUAGGAUAGGUGGGAGGCUUUGAAGUGUGGACGCCAGUCUGCAUGGAGCCGACCUUGAAAUACCACCCUUUAAUGUUUGAUGUUCUAACGUUGACCCGUGAUCCGGGUUGCGGACAGUGUCUGGUGGGUAGUUUGACUGGGGCGGUCUCCUCCUAAAGAGUAACGGAGGAGCACGAAGGUUGGCUAAUCCUGGUCGGACAUCAGGAGGUUAGUGCAAUGGCAUAAGCCAGCUUGACUGCGAGCGUGACGGCGCGAGCAGGUGCGAAAGCAGGUCAUAGUGAUCCGGUGGUUCUGAAUGGAAGGGCCAUCGCUCAACGGAUAAAAGGUACUCCGGGGAUAACAGGCUGAUACCGCCCAAGAGUUCAUAUCGACGGCGGUGUUUGGCACCUCGAUGUCGGCUCAUCACAUCCUGGGGCUGAAGUAGGUCCCAAGGGUAUGGCUGUUCGCCAUUUAAAGUGGUACGCGAGCUGGGUUUAGAACGUCGUGAGACAGUUCGGUCCCUAUCUGCCGUGGGCGCUGGAGAACUGAGGGGGGCUGCUCCUAGUACGAGAGGACCGGAGUGGACGCAUCACUGGUGUUCGGGUUGUCAUGCCAAUGGCACUGCCCGGUAGCUAAAUGCGGAAGAGAUAAGUGCUGAAAGCAUCUAAGCACGAAACUUGCCCCGAGAUGAGUUCUCCCUGAC